rnacentral:tRNA from 1 species
GGCCAGGUAGCUCAGUCGGUAGAGCAGUGGACUGAAAAUCCGCGUGUCGGUGGUUCGAUUCCACCCCUGGCCACCA